rnacentral:rRNA from 1 species
GGCUGAAAUUCGCCUUCAUGAAGCUGGAAUUGCUAGUAAUCGCGGAUCAGCAAGCCGCGGUGAAUACGUUCCCGGGCCUUGUACACACCGCCCGUCACACCAUGAGAGUCGGGAACACCCGAAGUCCGUAGUCUAACCGCAAGGGGGGCGCGGCCGAAGGUGGGUCCGGUAAUUGGGGUGAAGUCGUAACAAGGUAAC